rnacentral:lncRNA from 1 species
GGUCAUCUUCACCUUACUUCCCCCUGAAGAACUGGGUUGUUGUGCUUCCACAACAGGGGCUACUGGUUCAGGAGGUGGUGGUGGAGGAACUGGUUCCCUCACUUCAGGCUGUACUGGACUUGGUUGAACAGGUGGGGGUGGAUACAUGUGAUAUGGUGGAUAAAAGGAAGGAUAGGGCAUAUAGGGCAUGUAGGGUGGAUAUGGG